rnacentral:rRNA from 1 species
CCUACGGGAGGCAGCAGUGAGGAAUAUUGGUCAAUGGGCGAGAGCCUGAACCAGCCAAGUCGCGUGAGGGAGUACUGCCCUAUGGGUUGUAAACCUCUUUUGUCGGGGAGCAAAAGCCGGACGUGUCCGGCUGUGAGAGUACCCGAAGAAAAAGCAUCGGCUAACUCCGUGCCAGCAGCCGCGGUAAUACGGAGGAUGCGAGCUUUAUCCGGAUUUAUUGGGUUAAAAGGGUGCGCAGGCGGAUUUUUAAGUCAGCGGUAAAAUCGUGGGGCUCAACCCCAUCCAGCCGUUGAAACUGGGGAUCUAGAGUGUGCGAGAGGUAUGCGGAAUGCGUGGUGUAGCGGUGAAAUGCAUAGAUAUCACGCAGAACCCCGAUUGCGAAGGCAGCAUACCGGUGCACAACUGACGCUCAGGCACGAAAGCGUGGGUAUCGAACAGGAUUAGAUACCCCGGUAGUC